UUGAAAGGGAAACGAUUGAAGUCAGUCGUACCGACGAGAAAUCAGCUUUUCGAAUGUGCAUUUGUGGGCGUAUGAGAUCUUCAUUGUUUCCAAUAUGUAUAUUUCUUUGGUGUACUUUUUCGUAUGGUAGGUCAACGUCGGUUUUGGUCGCCAUAAAAUGAUCGGAGGAAUGUAGCUUCGACCUCGGUUGAAGUGUUAUAGCCUUUGGUAAAUGUGGUGAUUAGGACCGAGGAUUGCAACGAAUACCUUUUAGGCUAUCCGUCUGACCUCUGAAAGUUACUUAGGUGCCGAAAGCUUGCUUACGGUCAUUUAAGUUGCCGGUCAAUAGGUCAGAACGUGACACAUUCGUUAAGGAUGUUGACGUA
rnacentral:rRNA from 1 species